rfam:Salmonella enterica subsp. arizonae serovar 62:z4,z23:--, complete genome.
CAUUUUUGGGUUUAUCACUCAAGAAAAGAUUUUCAUUAAAAUUUUAGCAAUUUAAAAUUCUGAACACUUUAUAACACACCAUAAUAGGAUUGGAGGUUAUUCAACAUCAUUGUUCUGUCCAGAAGACAGUCCGUACUGAUAUCUCUGACAAUUUAAAGCAAGGCUGUUCUUACAACGCGACUUUUGUGAACUCGUCAUCGCUAUGAUGACUGGUAAACCUAUAUUACCUUAUUCACAGCGUGAAAAUCUGUCCAGAUGAAAGUAUCUCCUUCCGGCUUUAACCCUGUGGACUAAAGCCGGCAUUUUAUU